UACGAAGGGGCUAGGCGUUGCUCGGAAUCACUGGGCGUAAAGCGCACGUAGGCGGAUUGCUAAGUCAGGGGUGAAAUCCUGGGAGCUCAACUCCAGAACUGCCUUUGAUACUGGCGACCUUGAGUCCGGGAGAGGUGAGUGGAACUGCGAGUGUAGAGGUGAAAUUCGUAGAUAUUCGCAAGAACACCAGUGGCGAAGGCGGCUCACUGGCCCGGUACUGACGCUGACGGUGCGAAAGCGUGGGGAGCAAAGCA
rnacentral:rRNA from 1 species